rnacentral:tRNA from 1 species
GGAGGCGAACGAGCGCCUGGUGGGCUCCCUGGUCUUCAACACCAGUGGGGGUGCGAGAGUGCCCCGGCGGGUUCGAUUCCCGUCCGCCUCCGCCA